UCCAGACUCCUACGGGAGGCAGCAGUGGGGGAUAUUGCACAAUGGGGGGAACCCUGACCCAGCAACGCCGCGUGAAGGAAGAAGGCUUUCGGGUUGUAAACUUCUUUUAAGGGGGAAGAGUAGAAGACGGUACCCCUUGAAUAAGCCACGGCUAACUACGUGCCAGCAGCCGCGGUAAUACGUAGGGGGCAAGCGUUAUCCGGAUUUACUGGGUGUAAAGGGGGCGCAGACGGCGAUGCAAGCCAGGAGUGAAAGCCCGGGGCCCAACCCCGGGACUGCUCUUGGAACUGCGUGGCUGGAGUGCAGGAGGGGCAGGCGGAAUUCCUGGUGUAGCGGUGAAAUGCGUAGAUAUCAGGAGGAACACCGGUGGCGAAGGCGGCCUGCUGGACUGCAACUGACGUUGAGGCCCGAAAGCGUGGGGAGCAAACAGGAUUAGAUACCCUUGUAAUA
rnacentral:rRNA from 1 species